UUUAUUCUCACAUAGUGCUGUUUGGGGCACUACCGAGGCUGUUUCCGAUAAACCCUCGGCUCAAGAAAGGUUUGAUUUUUUGCAAAAGAUAAUUGUAGAUUGUUGUUGCUGCUGCUCGGAAUUGAUGUACUUCCGCGCCCAUUAUCUUUUUCUCAUCCUUCACGUGAGUUUUCAGAAACACACAAUUCCUUUCGUCUUUCAUCAAUACUCUUAGUAUAUUAUUUCCAUUAGUAGUUAUCCCGUUCAAAUUAAUUCUUUUAAUGUUAUUAUUAGAGUGAUAUCAUUCCCUCAUCAAAAUAAUAAUUAGGGCUUGAAACUCUAAGCUAGUAUUAUUUAGUUUCACUUCUUCACAUAUGUGGCUUUAGCUACAACAACAAUCAAUGUAAUUCCAUAAGUUGAGUUUGGAAAAGGUAGUGUAUAUGAACCUUAACUCUACCUUGCAAAGGUAGAAAGACUAUUUUCAAAAGAACUAAAAAGACGAAGGGAUUCUGUAUGUAUCCCAAAAGAAGUAAAGAGAGAAAACUAUAGCUUAUCACAAAUGUUUAAUCUCCAUACUUUUUUAUUCACUUUGACUUCAGAUGAGUGGGAGGGUGCACAUGCAAUAGGAACUGAUAUAUUUUAUAAGGUUCCAAAUGAAGUUGCCUUUAAUCACAUUUUUCCACUUUUCAAUGGGGCUGAGAUCUGGGACCUUGUUCCAAAUAGAAUGCGUACAUCUCUUCAGAUAUUUCAUUCCCUCCAUAGUAAAGGUCAUAUACAGUCCAUUGGGAUGACCCAGUUGGUUGGGAGGGUGGUUAUUCAAAUGGAUGACAUGGGUUCAAUCCCCCCUUAGUGCCUUUUGAGUCGAGCCUGUCACACAAGGCUUGUUGAGUGCGGUUUACAUCCCUUGUGUGGUUUGCAGGCUAUCACACAGUGGGGAGUUUACCUAGUGCACAGAAAGUGCUCACCCAAAGGACAGAGGUUGUAGCGGUUGCGGGUUAUCCUGGGUUCCAAAAAUAAAGGUCAUAUACAUAUAUGCUCAUUUGCUGUGCAAUAUUAAAUAUAGUCCAGAGUGAUUCACACUUUUCUUUUUACCUUCAUUAUAGUCAUUGCCAACUUCUCUCAUUUUGGCAAAGAGUUUUGACUGCCCCUUGACAAUUUCCUCGCUGCUUCAAUUUAUUUAUAAGUUACUAAUGCUAUUUUUGAGUUGAGAAAUACUUUUCAUGUGGCUUUCAAAUCUGUUUUUUUCUUCAACGGUAAAAUUAGUGAAUGCUCUAAUUGAGUUUUGCCUGAAAAUAUGUUUGACGAGCUACUUUAGUGUCAUGUUAUUAAGUCUGUUAAUUCUAAGUAUUAAUAGUGCCUCAUAUAUACAUGUGAAUACAGAUGACCUGCUGCAAAAUUUUGAUGAAUGGUUGACCCAAGCAUGUAUCAUGUUGCCUUACUUUUUUGUGAAAUUUGAGGGUCUUGUUCAUGGUUAAAUCUAAGCUCUUGAAGUAACUCUUUUUAUCUUACAAUUUUAGUGAGCCAACUAAAGGGUUUAAAAUUUUGUCUUUUUCUUGAAUUUAUAGCUCACUCAUCCAUUGCUGCAAACUAUGUACUGUUUCACUUAAACAAAUUCAAGCUAAAGUUGGUAAUAGUGGUAUAAAUAUAUCAUUGAACUACCUAACUUUGUGAGUACUGAUCUCCUUGUCUUUUUUGAUCAUCCAAGGAAACAUAUUUUCUCUUUUCAUCUUCUGUACUUUGAAUAUAUUGUAUAUUUUUUCAGAUAUCAAGUUGAUAUUGACAUUCAUCAACUCAAAGGCAGAAUCUCCAGG
rnacentral:lncRNA from 1 species